GUGGGUUUAUGGGUAGCUAGUGGGAUGGAUGCUGUCCAGCUUCCUUUUCAGGAGGGUGGGGACACGCUGGACCUCCCACCCAGUCCCCCACGAUGGCGAUGUCCUGGCUCGCAGCUGGUCCAGGGGCAAGACUCCUGAGGCCUGCUGGCUGUGGGUGCACAGACCCGGAGAUCUGACUAAAGGUGCAUUGGUGGAGCAGUUCAUGUGGGGAAUGCUGGUCUCUGAAACCUCAGCAGCCCUGAGGGUUUGCAUACAUGGAAGGCUGGCUUCUGUGGUGCUCCUGGUUGGGAACCUGCCACAGCCCAGCAAAGGGACAGCAGAGCUCCUUGCCUUUAAUGGAAGUGUCCUGUCCCCUGGCUCGUGUCUCCAUGGCCACCGCCCAUCUUCUGAGGGAAUCUCCAGCCCUUCUCCUCCUCAGUCCUCACAGAGUUUCUGAGCACCCACUGACGAUGCCCAACCUCAUGACGGGGAUCCUGAAAUAAGAACCAGUGAAAGGGGGACUGUGGAGAUGGCUGACAGCUCUUCCAGAGGCUCUGAGAUCAAUUCCCAGCAAGCACAUGGUGGCUCACAAGCAUCUGCAAUGGGAUCCGAUGAUGCCCUCUUCUGGGGUGUCUAAAGAGAGUGACAGUGCGCUCACAUACAUAAAAUAAAUAAAUCUUAAAGAACCGGUGAAGGAUCCUGCAGCCUGGUGAGGGACGUGGGACAAACAGUGACAAGGACAGAAGCUGCCUUGAGAUGAUCCAGGUGCAGGAGAGAUGGGAGAAGGAGGCUAUGGCCCUUGGCAGAGAUGGGACUAUCACGGGAGACUCCAUCAUCCAGGUACAGAAGGGAAUCAGAGCUGGCCAGUGCUCCCCACCCUCUCAGUACAGUCCUCUGCCACCUCCAUGCACAAUGGUCACCUGCUGUGAUACACAGAAACCCAAACAUCCGAUGCCCAGGCUCCUGUUCUACCCAGGAGCCUCCUGAGCCUGCCUUGUCACCAGCGGGAGUCACUGUCCAGCAAUGCCACCAUCCUGGCCCUCAUGUGAUUUCCACUCCUUGACGGGAGACAAAAUAUUCUAACCCAGCAGAGGCUAGCAAACUGCUAGAUGGCCCGAGAACCUUGGGUUUUCUCCCAGAAUCUUCUUCCCCCAAGUGGUAGCUCACCUCUGUUCACACCUCUGUUCACACUACUGUUGGGAAUGCACCAAAGCCUCAGGGCUGCUGGCACCUCUCAAGCAUUCAGCACCUAAGAGGAGGGACGCCUGGGAACACAACCCACAGUUGACCGUGCUUGGUCCAGCUUGCCUAUGGAAUUAAUUCUGUUGUUCCCAGAAGCAGCUCUGCCUGAGGUCCCAAGGUCCCAAUCACAGGGGGUGUCACUUGUCCUAUGCUGAGUGCACAGGUCUGAGGGUAUGGUCACGGGAUCCCGCACCUCAGGGUGAGAGCCAAUCGGGCUUGUCUCUGUUCCCAGCAGGGGCAAUUCCCCAUGACAGAGGGGCGUGAGCCUGUGACCACAUCACCCACAGGUCACCUGCUCCGCCUCCUGUCUUCCACAAGCCAGCUUGGGACUCUGCACUGCACACAGUCCUCCAGGUACCCCACAAAAGGGCCUUCUUCCAGCCUGGACUCGGCAAGCAGGUGCCAGGACAAGAUCAGACCUGGGAAACAACAGCCUUCAUUCAAGCCUGGCUCUGUUAGGACUGUGCAUCUACCUGCCAAUAAAAACCCACAUACACAU